UCGAUCAUGGCUCAGAUUGAACGCUGGCGGGAUGCUUUUUACAUGCAAGUCAGACGGCGGCACGGACUUCGGUCUGGUGGCGAGUGGCGAACGGGUGAGUAAUGUAUCGGAACGUGCUAGUAGCGGGGGAUAACUACGCAGCGUAGCUAAUACCGCAUACACGCCCUUCGAGAAAGCAGGGGACAGCGGGCCUCCCUUACUAUUAAGAGCGGCCGAUAUCGGAUUGGCUAGUUGGUGGGGUAACGGCUCGCAAGGCGACGAUCCGUAGCUGGUUUGAGAGGACGACCAGCCACACUGGGACUGAGACACGGCCCAGACUCCUGCAGGAGGCAGCAGUGGGGAAUUUUUGGACAAUGGAGGAAACCUGAUCCAGCCAUCCCGCGUGUGCGAUGAAGGCCUUCGGGUUAUGGCACUUUGGCAGGAAAGAAACGGCCUGGGAUAAUACGUGCAACUGACGAAACACCUGCAGAAUAGCACCGGCUAACUACGUGCCAGCAGCCGCGGUAUUGCGUAGGUGCAAGCGUUAAUCAAAGACACUGGGCGUAAAGCGUGCGCAGGCGGUUCGGAAAGAAAGAUGUGAAAUCCCAGAGCUUAACUUUGGGAACUGCAUUUUUAACUACCGAGCUAGAGUGUCAGAGGGAGGUGGAAUUCCGCGUGUAGCAGUGAAAUGCGUAGAUAUGCGGAGAACACCGAUGGCGAAGGCAGCCUCCUGGAUAACCUGACGCUCAUGCACGAAAGCGUGGGAGCAAUAAGUUAGAUACCUGGUAGUCCACGCCCUAAACGAUGUCAACUAGCUGUUGGGGCCUUCCCGGGCCUUGGUACGUACAACUAACAUGAAGUUGACCGCCUACUUAGGAAUACGGUCGCAAGAUUAAAACUCAAAGGAAUUGACGGGGACCCGCACAAGCGGUGGAUGAUGUGGAUUAAUUCGAUGCAACGCGAAAAACCUUACCUACCCUUGACAUGUCUGGAAUCCCGAAGAGAUUUGGGAGUGCUCCGCAGAACCAGAACACAGGUGCUGCAUGGCUGUCGUCAGCUCGUGUCGUGAGAUGUUGGGUUAAGUCCCCGCAACAGGCGCAACCCUUGUCAUUAGUUGCUACGAAGGGCACUCUAAUGCGGGCCUGCCGGUGACAAACCCGCGCGGAGAAGGUGAGGAUGACGUCAAGUCCUCAUGGCCCUUAUGGGUGGGCUUCACACGUCAUACAAUGGUCGGGACAGGGGUCGCCAACCCGCGAGGAGCCAAUCCCAGAAACUGAUCGUAGUCCGGAUCGCAGUCUGCAACUCGACUGCUGGAGAGUCAGAAUCGCUAGUAAUCGCCGUUGGAUCAGCAUGUCGCGGUGAACACGUUCCCGGGUCUUGUACACACCGCCCGUCGCAUCAUGGGAGUGGGUUUACCCGAAGUAGUUAGCCUAACCGUAAGGAGGCGAUUACCACGGUAGGAUUCAUGACACAGGGUGAAGUCGUAACAAGGUAGCCCUA
rnacentral:rRNA from 1 species